CGCAGAUCCCCGAGGGCGCCGCUUCCACUUCGGCGCCGCUGGGGUUGGUGCGACUCGCCUGGCGGCGCGGCGCGGCGCGGCAGGAGUUGCAGGCGGCCUCGGGACAGCUGCGAGCCCGCGGGCGGCGGCGGGGCAGGUAGGCAGGUUGACGGGAUCGCAGCGUGGAUCCACGCCAGCCACACUCAACGGGUGGCCCAAAAGGAUCUGCUGACAAUUCAGCCCGAACAGUGGAAAGCGGAAGCGAAUCCCACCAAUCCCCUGAAGAUCCACCUAGACGGGGAACAUGAAUCUGCUUGUUGCCUUCGCAAUCGCCUGGUGCCUGUGCAUCAAAGAGCUAAUAGCGGAAGAACUGGCCAACAGCCACCAUUCAUACCGAUGGCAGCUACGAAGGUCUGAGCACGGCCAGGUAAUAAGAGCCCAAGAGGGACCGAUUGGAGAUCCAGCUUCUUCAUUGUUCGUAACGACCCUCUGUGAGCUAGUCCCCAUCAGCCCCUGCUUGAAUGCUAUCGGAUUCUAUGUGUGCCCUGCGAAAGGACGAUCGUAUUGUGAUUACUCUAAUCAGUAUUACUGUCCUUCCUGGGGGUGUGAGACAAUAGCACCUCUCUGGAUAGAGGGGACAGGAAAGGACCCAGAUAUCAAAGUACAGUGGUGGCCGGAAAAUUGUAUCCCUCUGUAUCCUUUCGGAAGUAAUGCAGUGACACAAAACCAUGGGGUAGCCAGCCACCAACUGUGCCAGAAAAUCCAAAUCAAUGUAACUAACCCUAUGGAUAGCAAGUGGGACUAUGGGAGAACAUGGGGACUAAGAUAUUAUGAGGAAGGGACUGACAGGGGAGGGCUGUUCACCAUUCAGAGGUAUCCGGUACGGAGGACCCCAGAAGCCAUGGGCCCCAACAAGGCGCUGAAACCCACCCCGGAGGGUCAGGCAAAAUAAAUAAGCAAAAACCUUGACCCUCCCCGGCCGCAACACAAACACCUGAACCCCUACUAAACACCACCACUGAUGUACUUACACCCACCCUUUGUGGGGCCUACUGACCUCAGCCUAUCUAGUGCUUAACGCCACUAACCCUAAAGCAACCCAAGCAUGCUGGCUUUGUUAGGACAUGCAACUACCCUUUUAUGAGGCUGUGGGAGUCACAGGGGAGUAUAAUGUCACCCAGGAUCCACAAAAAUGUCGGUGGGAACAGAAAGUCCAAAAGGGACUUACAGUGCAAUCAGUCACCGGGAAGGGACUGUGCCUGGGUCAGGUCAAAGAUCGGAACUUCCUUUGCAACCAGUCCCAACCCAUUGAUCAGGAGGGGUAUUUUCUACCCCCAGACAAUAGCUGGUGGGCAUGCUCUAAGUUGGGACUCACUCUCUGUUUUAGCGGCAAGGUAGCCAAUGAGUCAAAGGAAUAUUGGUUCAAGUAUUUCCCAAAAUCCUGUAUCACCCAGAAGAUGAAAUAUACAAUAAAUUAGAGAGCAAACAACAAGUUGGGUAAAAAAAAAAGGGAAAUUUUUACCUCUGUCACUAUAACCACUCCUUUCGGAUUAGGGCUGGCAGGGACGGGUACUGGGAUUGCUUCCCUGACCCAACAAAGCCAAUACUAUUCUGGCUUGAGAGCAGCUAUAGAUGUAGAUGUAGAAAGAAUUGAGACCUCCAUCUCACAUUUAGAAAAGUCCCUCACAUCCCUGGCCGAAGUGGUUUUACAAACUAGAAGAGGGCUAGAUUUACUUUUCCUUCAGCAAGGAGGCCUAUGUGCAGCCCUCAGAGAAGAAUGUUGUUUUUAUGCGGACCACACGGGAGUCGGGAGGGAAUCCAUGACUAAGGAUCGGGAAGGGCUGGCUAAAAGAAAAAAACUUAGAGAACAACAGGAAGGGUGGUUUGAGUCUUGGUUCAGUAGCUCACCUUGGCUAACAACACUGGUGUCUACGCUCCUGGGCCCGCGGAUAUUUUUAGUGCUGAUCUUAACUUUUGGACCAUGCAUUCUGAAUAAGUUAGCAGCCUUCACUAAGGACCGACUAAACACGGUCCAAUUAAUGGUACUCAGGCAGCAGUACCGACCCUUGAGGCGAGAUGAUACUGCUGUGGAGAAUCCCACAGGAAGUCCCAAGAGUCACAGAUCACCACUUACCUGACCAGCAGAAGGUGAACUGUGGAAACUCCACAGGAAAACAUCUAGAGUCAAAACCUGCCACUAGCCACAAAGUGAAAGUAGGAGAAAAUGGAGUUACUCAUGCUAAGCCAGGAGCUGAUGACAUCACCCAUGUCAACCUUAGCACGUGCUAGAAAAAUGCCCCUCAUCAGACUGGACAGACAUCUCUGGACAGCCUGAUAAGCUGUGUGUCCUAUGGGUGAUAGCUGGAGUCACCUCACCAAUUCUCACGAGGAUUGGAUGUGAGCGGGAGACACCCAAGCCCAGACAACGGAUUGGUGACACCUCGGGGAACUCUGAGCUGAUUGGACUGAGUCAAGCGUGGACAGCACGUGAACAGCAGGUGAGCUGCAGGAAAAAAUUAGGAUGAAAAGGGAGUCUUGUGGUGCUCUCCAUCCUCUCCAGGUGUGUGUGAACCUCUAGAUCUCCACACAGCGGGAGCUGAAGAGGCAGCCCGUUACUCUGCACGGAG